AAAAUAUAAAACGUGUUCACUUAUAAUGUAAAAUAUAUUACUCCUCGCGACUGUUUUUAUAAGAAACAAAUUCUAGUUUUGUUGGAACCAAAAUUAUUAGCCGAUUACGAGACAGGAUUAGCCAUGACACAACGACUAUUUUAUCUGACAAAAGGAAAGCAAUUGAGCAAGAUUCAUGUAACAACUUAAUGGAUAGGUCAUUGAAAACAUGUAAAUCAUGAUCUCCUCAAUUUUCGGAUAGUGGUUAGGUACUGAAUCUGAUAUGUGAUCAUCUUUAUUAUCCCUAUAAAUAGGAUUUUUCACGAUGUAAACAAUCCACAACCUUCAUAAAUCAAAUUAUCAUUUUCUUGCUCGGUUUUACAAUUCUCUUCACUGUUCUUAUUACGUUUAAAUCACAUUUCUAUACUUUUAAGCGCUUUACUUUAGUCGUUUACAACAUUCAUUUACCGCUAAAUUCACUUAGGAGUAGCUUAACAUGGAAAUCUCAUGCAAAGUCCUUCCUUGAGACAAUCGUUACAAGGGAAUCAACCGGUGUUAAUCAAUGCUACGACAAAUCAGAUUUUGCUACAAGGGAAUGUCCAUAGCUUUUGUGGGCACAUUACCAA
rnacentral:lncRNA from 1 species